rnacentral:rRNA from 2 species
UGGGGAAUUUUGGACAAUGGGGGAAACCCUGAUCCAGCCAUCCCGCGUGUGCGAUGAAGGCCUUCGGGUUGUAAAGCACUUUUGGCAGGAAAGAAACGUCGCGGGUUAAUACCCCGCGGAACUGACGGUACCUGCAGAAUAAGCACCGGCUAACUACGUGCCAGCAGCCGCGGUAAUACGUAGGGUGCAAGCGUUAAUCGGAAUUACUGGGCGUAAAGCGUGCGCAGGCGGUUCGGAAAGAAAGAUGUGAAAUCCCAGAGCUUAACUUUGGAACUGCAUUUUUAACUACCGGGCUAGAGUGUGUCAGAGGGAGGUGGAAUUCCGCGUGUAGCAGUGAAAUGCGUAGAUAUGCGGAGGAACACCGAUGGCGAAGGCAGCCUCCUGGGAUAACACUGACGCUCAUGCACGAAAGCGUGGGGAGCAAACA